AAGGUUGUGGUGUAACGGUAGCAUACCAGUCUCCAAAACUGCCGGUCAGGGUUCAAAUCCCUGCGACCUUG
rnacentral:tRNA from 1 species